rnacentral:rRNA from 1 species
AGCGAACGCUGGCGGAAUGCUUAACACAUGCAAGUCGCACGGGGGCUUCGGCCUUAGUGGCGGACGGGUGAGUAACGCGUAGGAAUGUGUCCGAGGGUGGGGGAUAACGUUGGGAAACUGACGCUAAUACCGCAUAUCUCCUGAGGGAGAAAGCCGUGAGGUGCCCACGGAGCAGCCUGCGUACGAUUAGCUAGUUGGUUAGGUAAAGGCUGACCAAGGCGACGAUCGUUAGCUGGUCUGAGAGGAUGAUCAGCCACACUGGAACUGAGACACGGUCCAGACUCCUACGGGAGGCAGCAGUGGGGAAUAUUGGACAAUGGGCGCAAGCCUGAUCCAGCAAUUCCGCGUGGGUGAAGAAGGUCUUCGGAUUGUAAAGCCCUUUCGUUGGGGACGAUGAUGACGGUACCCAAAGAAGAAGCCCCGGCUAACUUCGUGCCAGCAGCCGCCGUAA